UACGUAGGGUGCGAGCGUUGUCCGGAAUUAUUGGGCGUAAAGAGCGUGUAGGCGGCCAGGUAGGUCUGCUGUGAAAACUCGAGGCUCAACCUCGAGACGUCGGCGGAAACCAUCUGGCUAGAGUCCGGAAGAGGAGAGUGGAAUUCCGUGGUGUAGCGGUGAAAUGCGCAGAUAUCAGGAAGAACACCCGUGGCGAAGGCGGCUCUCUGGGACGGUACUGACGCUGAGACGCGAAAGCGUGGGGAGCGAACAGG
rnacentral:rRNA from 1 species